AGAUUAAGUUAUCAAGGGCGCACGGUGGAUGCCUUGGCACUAGAAGCCGACGAAGGACGUUACUAACGACGAUAUGCUUUGGGUAGCUGUAAGUAAGCGUUGAUCCAGAGAUUUCCGAAUGGGGGAACCCAGCACGAGUUAUGUCGUGUUAUCGACAAGUGAAUUCAUAGCUUGUCAGAAGGCAGACCCGGAGAACUGAAACAUCUUAGUACCCGGAGGAAGAGAAAGAAAAAUCGAUUCCCUGAGUAGCGGCGAGCGAAACGGGAAGAGCCCAAACCAAUAAGCUUGCUUAUUGGGGUUGUAGGACACUCUAUACGGAGUUACAAAGGAAUAUAUUAGACGAAUCAUCUGGAAAGUUGAAUCAAAGAAGGUAAUAAUCCUGUAGUUGAAAAUAUAUUCUCUCUUGAGUGGAUCCUGAGUACGACGGAGCACGUGAAAUUCCGUCGGAAUCUGGGAGGACCAUCUCCUAAGGCUAAAUACUCUCUAGUGACCGAUAGUGAACCAGUACC
rnacentral:rRNA from 1 species